rnacentral:rRNA from 1 species
GACGAACGCUGGCGGCGUGCCUAAUACAUGCAAGUUGAGCGCUGAAGGUUGGUACUUGUACCAACUGGAUGAGCAGCGCACGGGUGAGUAACGCGUGGGGAAUCUGCCUUUGAGCGGGGGACAACAUUUGGAAACGAAUGCUAAUACCGCAUAAAAACUUUAAACACAAGUUUUAAGUUUGAAAGAUGCAAUUGCAUCACUCAAAGAUGAUCCCGCGUUGUAUUAGCUAGUUGGUGAGGUAAAGGCUCACCAAGGCGAUGAUACGUAGCCGACCUGAGAGGGUGAUCGGCCACAUUGGGACUGAGACACGGCCCAAACUCCUACGGGAGGCAGCAGUAGGGAAUCUUCGGCAAUGGACGAAAGUCUGACCGAGCAACGCCGCGUGAGUGAAGAAGGUUUUCGGAUCGUAAAACUCUGUUGGUAGAGAAGAACGUUGGCGAGAGUGGAAAGCUCAUCAAGUGACGGUAACUACCCAGAAAGGGACGGCUAACUACGUG